rnacentral:rRNA from 1 species
AUGGCUGCAAAGGGUAGCAAGGACCGCCUCGGUGACCUCACCGACGACCUCCUCCGUCAUGUGUUGUCCCUUCUUCCGCCAGAAGAUGCCCUCAAGACUUGUGUGCUAGACACCAGGUGGCGCGAACUAUGGAGGCGCACCACCAGCAUGCACUUUGAUGCUACCCAUUGUGAGCGAUGCGAACAGUUGGUGAAGUUGUUCAUCCAACUCCGUGGAAACUCACCUCUCCCCAAGUGCGAGAUCAGUACCUCCUCUGAUGAUCAUCCGCAUCAUGCCGACUUUAUAUACACCAACACAGAGCUGUUGAUCGAUUACGCUCUAGAGUGCCAAGUUAAGGAGCUCCUGCUCAAAGCUGAUCACAUUGAUGAUGGCGCAAUAAUACUAGAUAUGCCUCUCAUCUCCCGUCACUUGAAGAUCUUACACCUUGAAGAUGUUACAUGCUCUGCUCUGAAUUUCUCUGGUUGCCAAGUAUUAGAGGAACUUAAGAUGGAACAUUGCGAGAUUUAUGCACAUAAGAUAUCAUCCAAAUCACUAAAGCGUCUCUGCAUCACAGAACAAUGUAGUGUCCCUCAGGAAUUCCACAUUCAGAUUUUUGCCCCUGAUCUUAUCUCAUUGCAAAUUAGCAAUUUUCAUGGUGCGACCCCUUUCCUUGGGGAUAUGCCAUUUCUAGUAACAGCCUAUAUUGGUCUUUGUGAUGGAUGUCAUGAUUCCUGUGAGAAGAACCUGAGGGGUUGUGAUUUUGAUGAGUGUGGUUGUCAUGCUUAUCCUGCUGAGGGGGGUGUGCUUCUCAAUGGGUUGUCCAAUGCUGUCCAUUUGGAGUUGAUAGCUUAUCCUAUGAUGUUUAUCUACCAAUGGGAUUUAGAAUGUUGCCCCCUAUUUGGCACAUUAAAGACCCUGCUCCUCAAUGAGUGGUUCACGACUAUUGAUCUAGUCUGCAUUCUUCGAUGCUCUCCACUUCUUGAGAGGCUCACUCUUCAGCUUUGUGACACUAAGAACCUCGUAGGAGCAACAACAUCCCCAGAAACAAUUGACCAAUCAUUUGUCUGCUCCCACCUGGAGGUUGUGAAGAUUGAAUGUAGAAAGGUUGAUGUGGGAAUUCGCAAAAUUUUGAAUAUCUUGAGUACAUUUGGCGUAGAUGAUAAGAAAAUCAACAUCAAGGAAAAAUGUUCUCACUCAUAUCGUUUCAGUUUCGAGAAGUAUGGGGUGCUUCUAUCACUGGUGGCCCCUGAGAUGUGUGCUCCGCCAUGA